CCCAGCUGUAACAGGCCAGUUCCUCACAAAUAAUCUGGCGCUGUGACAGGACCUGCCCUCCUGUCAACAGCACAAAAUAAAAUGGAUACACAGGAAUUGUACCUAUACUGUGCCCUACAAGUGGAGGUCGCUCGAUUCCAUAUAAAACGCCAGUACAAACUGCUCAGAGCUGAUGCUAGGAGCAUAAUAAGAUCUUGCAGAAGACUGGUGAACAACAAGAACAUCAAAACGUAAUUCCAAGGAGGAGGAAUGGGUGUGACUCUCUGUGCUGGUGUGGGUCUUUAUGAAACAACUAUGUAAGCUGCUGCAUGCUAUAUCCACGUGGGGGAUAUGGUGCCUGACAAGCUCAGCUGUGACGAUGCGAUAAUCAUGCUAACUAUAGGAGAGUGCUCGUAACCUCUCCUAUAGCUAGCAGGAUUAUUGCAUCGUCACAGCUGACCUCAGAAACACAUCACCGGCACAGCAGUCAUUCAGUACCCCCAUUGACUCCCAUCAAAUUGUACCAUCUAAGGCAGCAGCUACCAGAGACCUACACCAGCACAGACAGGUCACACCCACUGGGCGGAAUUAUUCACCAUCAACAGCAACCCUCCC